GUGAAGCUGGAUUCGCUAGUAAUCGCGCAUCAGCCAUGGCGCGGUGAAUACGUUCCCGGGCCUUGUACACACCGCCCGUCAAGCCAUGGGAGCCGGGGGUGGCUUGAAGUGCGUCGCCGCAAGGCGCGCCCUAGAGCAAAACCGGUGACUGGGGCUAAGUCGUAACAAGGUAGC
rnacentral:rRNA from 1 species